UUGUGCUUUGGCAAUAUAUAUAUAUUAAAAUUGGAAUAAUACAGAGAUGAUUAGCACGGCCCCUAUGCAAAGAUGACACACAAAUUUGUUAAACAUUCUAUAUUUAC